UGCCGUAACGAGCCCCUGGCCUGCUGGGCACGUUUGAGGCAAGGAGGAAAGCAGCAGUUACCCAUUUGUGUAACGAAGCAGUGGGGUGGCUUCCUAGCCUUGUAUUGAGCAGGGAGGUGUGGAGCCACCAGCCCUUGAGGUGCUGGGUAAGAAGGGAAGGAGUAGGGUAUGGCCUCCUGUGCCUAGCAGCUCCAACCCGAGGUGGUGGCAUGUUAGGCACUUGCAAGGUCAGAGCAGUCACCGGUAGGCCUUGGCCUGCUUGCUUGGUCAGAGGGGCAGGGAACGGCUAGCACCUGGGAAAUGCCUUCCAGAGUAAGGGGCUGGGAAGGCUGGCUUGGGUCAGAGGCAGUGGGACUGUGUUUUGCCACAAAUUCAGUGGAGGGCCUCUGUUUCUCCCUUUUCCCUUACCUUCUCGCUAACCUUACUCGCCCUGCUCCUUAGCACUGUAAAAUUGCUGUCCUUUCUACAAGCUGAGUGAGCCAGCAGCUUGGUGCUCUGAAGUGCUCUGAAUCUGAACUCCUGAGGGGGACACGCAGUGCCAGCUAAGCAGGCUGCUCUUUAAAGCAGCACUCAGAUGGGACUGGUGGCACUGUUUGUUAGGAAAAGAAAUGCACUUCUACUCUUCCUUCAGCUGGAAAUCUGCUCUGAGAGAGCAUUACUAAUUUAAGAUCUCAGGUAUCGUCAGUGUUUCAGCAGCAAUCUGGUUGUCUGUUUGCUACGUUCUGGCCUCCAGAAAUUGCUACAGCACUUGUUAAAAGUCACCAUUUUAUCAUGUCAUUUUCUGCAAGGAGGUAAGCACAGGGUGCAUCGAUACCGGGACAAAGAAAAGAAACAAGGGAAGGGUGUCAAAUCCUGUCAAGGGAUAUGACCUUUUUGUCGCAAAGCGUGUGUACAACCACUUCAGAGUCUGAUUUUCCUAGUUGUUCAUAUGGUACCGAGACUAUUCACUUACUAAUCUAGUCAUCAGCUGCUUCUUUUCUUGAUAAAAAGGGAUUAGGAAAAUGCAGCAUCUGCCGUGUAAACUGAAGGAUGGAUGCAAUCGGAAUACAAGCCCUCCUCCCGCUUCCCUAUAGGAGAUGCCGUGAUGCGAGAGGGAGUGUUUCUGUUGAGCCUGUCACACAGAACCCAGUCCUUCCCAUUCUGCUAGAGCCUGCACCAUCAAGAGCUUAACACAUGCAGCUCACGGUGUGUCCUGCUUGCCUUACACUUGUUCUUUCUUACAGAGAAGAUGUGAAAGAAGAAUAAAAGAUGUGGAGGCUGCUUUCAAAGGUUUUGCAGUGUGCGUCCCUUAACCAUUGUGAUUUUAGGUCUUUUUCCUUCUCCAGAGCGCUGUGUUUGUCACUUUGCCCAGGAGAAGCACUGUGCCAGCCUUCUUGGGACAGGCUCUGGCCUUCCCCUCCUUCAAGUAUCCCUACAGAUGCUGUCUAUUCAAAGUGCUUUCUGCAAGCCCUACCCUAUGCAUUUAUACUCUCUUGUGAAAAAGCAGCCUAUGUUUCCUAUCAUGCUGCUUCAGGCACUUACAUUCCAUCUGGGUUGCAUUGCCCUUUAAUUAUCAGUCGUCUUAUUGUGAUCAAGUGAACUUUUACUAAUCUCCACAUUUAUUGUUAAGGUAAAUAGAUGCUGCUUUUAAUCAAUACAGAGGGCCACACCAAUGCAGUUCGACGUAACUUAAGUCAACUGUAAAGAGUUCAAUGUGUGUAUAAUUACAGAGGACGUCGGCUAUUCACUCCAGCCUAAUUCAGUGUCUCUUCAGAGGCAGACCUCUUCGCUUCCCCAUCCCGCUCUCACCUCACAUGCUGCCCCCACCCCAAGGAGGUAAGAGAGGAGCGGCAGGGGCCGGCAAGCCACAGCCCUGCUGAACCUCGGGCUGCUCGGCAGAUUGGAGCUGCCGGGUGAGCACAAGCCUCCGGGUACAAUGCGGCACUUCCUUCCAACAAAAAAGAUUGAUUGCAUCUUGGCCUUGGUAUUAAAUGUGCUAUUAUCAGAAGAAGCUGAAAUAAUGCAUACAGUUGCUGUAAAAGAAAGCAGGUUUCCUUUGCGAACAUACCUAUUAUUUCAAUAGUACUUGAGAACUGUUUCAAUAGUGGCCAGGUUGUUGCUUACUGAAAUACAUUUGAAUUGAAUACAUAUAUAUCAAGGUUUUUUCUUAAUUUUAGUUUGAGUUAUUCCUGAAGUUCUCAUUAAAUUUACCAUUUGUAAAGGACAGAUUAAAUGAAAAUGGCUUUCAGAAAAAUAGAGCUGGAAAUUAUUUUGGCCUUUCUGACCUGGAAGAGGUGAUAAUUUGCAGCAGCACUACAUAUUGGACAUGUCUGACAUUUUAGGUAUUCCCUCACAGUUUCAGACCUUUGUACAGAUGAACUCCGUCUGGGACAACCCAGCAGUCAACUUUUUGUUACCUUAAUGUAAAUGAGAGGACUGCAGCUGUCUUAAGCAAUCUAGGCAGACAACACCGAUGGAAAUGAAACUCGGAACACUUACAGAAAUCUCUCUCCACUGACUUUUCCAAAUGUAAACAACCUAUACAGCGUUUUCUAAUGUAAAACAAAUGUGACAUGAUGAAUCAAAAUAUAGGUCUGAGAGGAAGAGGCAGCAGCGUCCUCAAGCUCUUUCGGAGUACCCCCACACAUAAACUGGUAGGUAACACCACAUAGCCAGGUGGCGUAGUCCCUACCCAGCUUGAUACUCACUGGCCUCGAGAGAAACCCUACCUGAGUAAG